CCAAACUGUUGCCUCGGCGGGAUCUCUGCCCCGGGUGCGUCGCAGCCCCGGACCAAGGCGCCCGCCGGAGGACCAACCAAAACUCUUUUUGUAUACCCCCUCGCGGGUUUUUUAUAAUCUGAGCCUUCUCGGCGCCUCUCGUAGGCGUUUCGAAAAUGAAUCAAAACUUUCAACAACGGAUCUCUUGGUUCUGGCAUCGAUGAAGAACGCAGCGAAAUGCGAUAAGUAAUGUGAAUUGCAGAAUUCAGUGAAUCAUCGAAUCUUUGAACGCACAUUGCGCCCGCCAGUAUUCUGGCGGGCAUGCCUGUCCGAGCGUCAUUUCAACCCUCGAACCCCUCCGGGGGGUCGGCGUUGGGGAUCGGCCCUCCCUUAGCGGGUGGCCGUCUCCGAAAUACAGUGGCGGUCUCGCCGCAGCCUCUCCUGCGCAGUAGUUUGCACACUCGCAUCGGGAGCGCGGCGCGUCCACAGCCGUUAAACACCCAACUUCUGAAAUGUUGACCUCGGAUCAGGUAGGAAUACCCGCUGAACUUAAGCAUAUCAAUAAGCGGAGGAA
rnacentral:rRNA from 1 species